CCUACGGGUGGCUGCAGUGGGGAAUAUUGCACACUGGGGGAAACCCUGAUGCAGCGACACCGCGUGAGUGAAGAAGUAAUUCGUUACGUAAAGCUCUAUCAGCAGGGAAGAAAAUGACGGUACCUGAGUAAGAAGCCCCGGCUAACUACGUGCCAACAGCCGCGGUACUACGGAGGGGGCAAGCGUUAUCCGGAUUUACUGGGUGUAAAGGGAGCGUAGACGGUGCGCCAGGUCUGGAGUGAAAUGCCGCGGCUUAAAUGCGGAACUGCUUUGGAAACUGGCGAACUAGAGUGCGGGAGGGGUAAGCGGAAGUCCUAGUGGAGCGGUGAAAUGCGUAGAUAUGAGGAGGAACACCGGUGGCGAAGGCGGCUUACUGGACCGUAACUGACGUUGAGGCUCGAAGGCGUGGGGAGCAAACAGGAGUAGAUACCCGAGUAGUC
rnacentral:rRNA from 1 species